GAUGAACGCUGGCGGCGUGCCUAAUACAUGCAAGUCGAGCGAACAGACGAGGAGCUUGCUCCUUUGACGUUAGCGGCGGACGGGUGAGUAACACGUAGGUAACCUACCUAUAAGACUGGGAUGACUUCGGGAAACCGGAGCUAAUACCGGAUAAUAUUUUGAACCGCAUGGUUCGAUAGUGAAAGAUGGCUUUGCUAUCACUUAUAGAUGGACCUGCGCCGUAUUAGCUAGUUGGUAAGGUAACGGCUUACCAAGGCAACGAUGCGUAGCCGACCUGAGAGGGUGAUCGGCCACACUGGAACUGAGACACGGUCCAGACUCCUACGGGAGGCAGCAGUAGGGAAUCUUCCGCAAUGGGCGAAAGCCUGACGGAGCAACGCCGCGUGAGUGAUGAAGGUCUUCGGAUCGUAAAACUCUGUUAUUAGGGAAGAACAAACGUGUAAGUAACUGUGCACGUCUUGACGGUACCUAAUCAGAAAGCCACGGCUAACUACGUG
rnacentral:rRNA from 1 species